rnacentral:rRNA from 1 species
AGUGAACGCUGGCGGUAGGCCUAACACAUGCAAGUCGAACGGCAGCACAGGAGAGCUUGCUCUCUGGGUGGCGAGUGGCGGACGGGUGAGGAAUACAUCGGAAUCUACUUUUUCGUGGGGGAUAACGUAGGGAAACUUACGCUAAUACCGCAUACGACCUACGGGUGAAAGCAGGGGACCUUCGGGCCUUGCGCGAUUGAAUGAGCCGAUGUCGGAUUAGCUAGUUGGCGGGGUAAAGGCCCACCAAGGCGACGAUCCGUAGCUGGUCUGAGAGGAUGAUCAGCCACACUGGAACUGAGACACGGUCCAGACUCCUACGUGAGGCAGCAGUGGCGAAUAUUGGACAAUGGGCGCAAGCCUGAUCCAGCCAUACCGCGUGGGUGAAGAAGGCCUUCGGGUUGUAAAGCCCUUUUGUUGGGAAAGAAAUCCAGCUGGCUAAUACCCGGUUGGGAUGACGGUACCCAAAGAAUAAGCACCGGCUAACUUCGUGCCAGCCGCCGCGGUAA